GGAGUGAACGCUGGCGGUAGGCCUAACACAUGCAAGUCGAACGGCAGCACGGUAAGAGCUCGCUCUUAUGGGUGGCGAGUGGCGGACGGGUGAGGAAUACAUCGGAAUCUACCUUUUGGUGGGGGAUAACGUAGGGAAACUUACGCUAAUACCGCAUACGCCCUUCGGGGGAAAGCCGGGGACCAGCAAUGGCCUGGCGCUGAUAGAUGAGCCGAUGUCGGAUUAGCUAGUUGGUGAGGUAAUGGCUCACCAAGGCGACGAUCCGUAGCUGGUCUGAGAGGAUGAUCAGCCACACUGGAACUGAGACACGGUCCAGACUCCUAGGGAGCAGCAGUGGGAAUUAGUGGAC
rnacentral:rRNA from 1 species